UUUCCGUAGGUGAACCUGCGGAAGGAUUAUUAUUGUAUAACCGAGGUGCGAGGGCUGUCGCUGACCCGAAAGGUCGUGCACGCCCGAGUGCCCGCACACACAUCCAUCUCACCCCUAUGUGCACCAGCGCGUGGGUCCCCCUUUGGCUUGUUCGGAGGGGGGCUUACGUUUUCCCACAAACUUUGUAUGCAGUGUAGAAUGUAUUUUUUGUUUUUGCGAUCACGCAAUCAAUACAACUUUCAACAACGGAUCUCUUGGCUCUC
rnacentral:misc_RNA from 1 species